ACCAUGGGUUUGGUAUAGGCACUACUCAUGCGCUUCGUACGAUGACCGGGUGCUUGCACCGGCUUAUUAGUGUUACAACGUUUGAGUAACACGUGAGUAACCUGGCCUUGACUCUGGGAUAAUCCUGGGAAACUGGGUCUAAUACCGGAUAUGACUCCUCAUCGCAUGUCAUGGGGGUGGAAAGCUUUUGUGGUUUUGGAUGGACUCCGGGCCUAUCAGCUUGUUGGUGACGUAAUGGAUCACCACCGUUAGUACCGGUAAUCGGACUGAGAGGGAGACCGGCCACACUGGGACUGAGACGAUUUCCAGACUCCUACACCUUGCUCCAAUGUGGAAUAUUGCACCUCGGAUGAAACCCUGAUGCCACGACCCCGCGUGAGGGAUGAAGGCCUUCGGUUUGUAAACCUCUUUCACUAAGGUAUAACCGAACGUGACGGUACCUGCCAAGCACCCGCCGGCUACCUACGUGCCAGCGGGGCGCCUGUUACCAGGUAUUUCAAGCGUUAUCCGGACUUAUGUGAACGUUCUUAGCUCGUGCAUCGAAUUGUCCCGUCUGCUGUGAAAGUUGUGCGCUCAACUCCGGAUCUGCGUUGAGGUACGGGCAGACUAGAGUGAUGCCCGGGAGACUGGAAUUCCUGCGUGUAGCUAGUGAAAUGCGCAGAUAUCAGUGAGGACCACCGAUGGCGAACGCAGGUCUCUGGGCGUUAACUGACGCUGACGAGCGAAGUUAUGGUCCAGCGGAUAGGAUUACAUACCGUGGUAUUCCGUGCCGAGAACGGUGUUCACUAUCUGUGGUGGACAUGACACGUGUUCAGCUCAGCACCUACACGCAGUAAUGUCGCCCUCGCCUGGUAGAUCACUGCAGUCAUGGCCUAUAACCUCAACAGCGAAUCGACGAGGUGGACCCCACGAACUGUCACAGCAUGACGCAAUCAAUUCGAUCUAAGAGCUCAUUACGUUACAAAAGGCUCUCGAAUGCACUGGAACCCUAUGUAAUACGUGCCUCGCUGUGCACGUAGUUACCAGGUGCUGCAUUCUGUAGUGAUCAGUCACUUGUCGCUGACAUCGCUAGCUGAGUACUAACAGACCCGUAGGCGUCAUCCAUGCAUGCAGGUCGCUGCGAUCGGGCAUUCAUCGAUGCUGCCAUGUCCCAACUGCUAGCAUCGUGAGGAGUCUGGCCAGUGAUCUUAGGUCAUUGGG
rnacentral:rRNA from 1 species